AAGGCUUCUGACCUCUAUCCACCACCACCACCUCCUCCACCCAAUACGCAUCUAAGGAUGAAAGGAAGAAAAAUCCUCUCCGCCAGCUCUCUCCCCGAUUCCUCUCUCUCUCCGCCAUCACUGAUUCCAGAAACCCUAGUCACCAUGGGUCGCUGGCGCAGCUUUGGCGCCUCCAGUUUGUCGGCCCGCCACCCCGCGUCUCUGCACGAACGGCUAUCAAUCAAGCUCGACGGUCUGCGCUGCCUCGGUUACCUCAACUCCGACGCCGACGGUUCACAAUCUCGACAAUGAUCUAUGCUACCUUGAUCACUCGCCUGACCUAUUGCAUCCAUGCCGCUCCAUGUUCUGAGUUCUCCACUGCAAUUGUGUGCGCACUGAAAUACCAGGAUGAAAACCCGGAUUUGUUAUCUUCAGUUUAUAGUUGAGACUUCAUUUAUGCUGAGUACGCUGUAGCAGCUGGACAUCGUCAUCGCUCAAAUGUGUGGCAGUUACAUAUGCAAGCUGGGUUUUUUUUAUCUGUUCAAUUGCAAAGGAGAACUCACAUUGUGAAUUCUUGUGACGACUCCCUGGAUACUACCCUAUGCAUGCUUUCCACGAUGUACUGAUGUCAUUGACGUGCCUUUUGUGGUGAGAAGAUUACACAAAUCUGGAUCUGAGAUGAGAAAGGAACUAGGGAUUGCAGAUGAUGUUAAGGUGGUCAUUUUCUACUUUUGAGGACAGCCGUCUACCAAUCGUCGCCCGAUCUGAAGCUGCACAAAAGAUGCGCCACCAUAUAGAUAAGCUUCUCUUGCCCUACAUUGACAUGUUUUCCCCUGGUUUAGUGAAUGUGAAACAAGAAUUGAACUUGACGCCACUGAAAGUUAAAUUAAAUAUAUCCAUCUAGCAUAAUCAUGAGCAUCAAGUGUUCAAGAAAAAAAAUAUGAUUAUAUGUAAUUUCUAUUUUUUGCCAUCCUAUACCAAUGAUCAAUGUUGUAAUAAGCUUACUGUGCAGUUUUAAAUUUAUAACAGACUAUACACAUGUUUUUGUUUUCAAAUAACUAUGAUAGAAAUCAGUGUCCAGUACGUGGUUCCACAAAGGCAAGGUUAUACUGUUCUGCACUUACUAUGAUAGAAAUGAUCUAAAUCUCUAAAUAACAAUGAGUGUGCAUAGUAUUUAGCGUGACAGGUACAGAACCAUAAAAACAGAUGAAUUGCCAAAAUGAUAGUAGUACAAAUCAUCGGUGAAGUUAUUCUGAUUUAGCAAAUCAAACUUACCUGAAUAUGCAAUUCGCAAGACUAGAUGUCAAGCCAACAACAUGCUCUUCUACUUCUAUGUAAUGGGACCAACCUAGCUUGGUAACCUUUCUAAUGCUACAUUAGAAAUAUAUGAUCAGUUGAUCUGGCCACUCAAAAAUGUCAAAAGUAAUUGUCAUGCAGCUAGAUUAGUUAUUGCAAUGCCUUCAGCCUUUGUAUGUUCCCCCUCUUUUUUUAAUUGUGUUGUAUAUUGGCCAGAUUUUUUUUCUUUCUGUAAUGGUACGUUACUCAUGUCAGUUUUUAUUUGAUGUAGAUUGCCAAGAUAAAUAGAUGAUGCAUGGCUAAGUGGUUUCUAGCAAGGCGGAGAAUGGGACUACCACCAAGAUAGUUUUACGUUUAUUUUUUAGAAUGCCAUUUUCAUGGUCAUUGUAUAGAAAUGAUGUGAUGUCAUUUUCAGGGUCAAUGUAAGGAAAAUCAUGUGUUUACUCUUUGGAUUUUGUUCCAUGUAAUGCAACCAAUCAGAUUCAAUAUAUGAGCUAUUCCUAUUUAC